GGGACAGCCUGCGCGGGCACAAGGUCACAGUUAGAGUGGCUCCUGUCCCUUCAGCCUCUCCACCCACGCCCCUUCCGCGCGCUCACCCUGAGGCACCUCCUCCAUUCGGCUGCCUUCGAAGUCUACGCGGUCACCGGAAUACGCUUUACGUAUUUCCGUCUCCCCGCGCCCAAUCUGACUCUCCAGCCGCGCGAAGUCACACCGCUGCUAGCGAGGGAGCCAGAGGGAUGAACCUGGGCCGUGGGGCUUGUGAGCCUGCUGGGUCACCCGUAAGACACAGUGACAGGUGCUUCCGUACGAACCGCUGGUGCCACCAAACGGCCAUGAUGCCAUUCGUCCUGGCACCCAGCCUGUCCGCCACAGUGGAUAACGAAGCAGCCCCCAGGUUCGAGGUGGCAACAGACAGCUGACGCUACAUGACAUCAUCACCGCAUCAUGACCUUCAUCCAGACCCCGGUUCUCCUGGGCCUGCAGUGGUUUCUGGGUAGCCCCACUAGGCUAUGUGGCCACGACAAGCCUCCCCCAGCCUGCAGAGGCUCGAGGCAGCAGAGAUCAUUCUUGGCUCCGGCUACCGAACAGGUUCACGGGCAGACACCUGCUUGUUGUUCCUCGGGGACACACACGACAGAGGCCCUACAGUCUCACGUUGCCAUGGUCUGAGCACAUGCUUCAAAGCUGGAGCGCAUGACUUGUACAAUGCUUCUUCAACACAUUCCCCCCCAGAAACAACCCCUAUGCGCACACCUUCUAUCCAGAGAAUCGGUCACACCCAAAAGAGCAUAGGGGGUGCAGUCCCUGGAAGGAGCAGAGACCAGGGAGUGGCCGGUACUGGACUCCUCUGCUACAUGUCAUACGGUCCUUUCCCCUCACAAUUCAGAUGGGUCACUCUGCUACACAUGCACCUUCCCUGGCUCCCUAUGGCCCAAGCUAGCACCAAUCUUGAUAUGGUUUUCAGUCCAGUUCAACCCCGUGACUCAGGUUACCCCUGCCACCCCAUAUUUGCUCUGUGCCACUGUGCACGCUGAGCUUGAUCUAAAACCAAAUAGCAGGCUUUUCCUUGGUACCCCAGCCAUUGCUCUGCGGCUCACACCAGUCCUUCCCCACAACUCUGGGCCUCUCUGGCCCUCCUCUGGGACAGGUCACCUCUCCGCAUCAUCCCACGGGAAGCCGGUUCAGGCCCAUGGAAUCCACGGCCUUCCCCUUUUCCUGAACACGGCAUGUUCCAGAAGUCUGAGCCCAGUUUUCCGUUUUAGGAACCCAGAAAGUGUGAAUGCUGCAAACCUAACCAGAAUCAGCAUCUGAAAGUCUAUUUCUGUUUACAUCUCCUUUACAUUUAUUUAGUUUAGGGAGUUUGAUAGAUUUUAAAUUUAAAGUUUUUAUUUCGGUCCCCCUGACUGAAGGUGGCAAGGAGGACCGAAACAACAAAGCCAGAGCUAGAAGUUGUCAUUUCAAAUGUGGAAAAACUCAGUACGUGCCAAAAGACUUAAUUAGCUACGUUUUUAAAAGCUUUUAAAAAUAAGUUUGUCAAAGUAGAGGCCCAGCAGAAAGCUCGGUGGCUGCCAGGGGUUGGGUUAGGGAGGGAGGAGUAGGCGGAGAGCCCGGGAUUUUUAGGGCAGGGCAGCUCUCCCGCGUCAGGUGUAAUGGUGAGUACUUGACAUUGUGCACGUAUCCGUCUCCCAGACCCUGCACCAGCAAGAAGGGACUUGAACUCACCCUGUGGACUUUAGUUAAUAAUAAGGAUUCACUAUUAUGGUUCACCCAUUGUAACGAAUGACUCCACCAACGCCAGAUGUUAGUAAUGGGGGAAAUUGCCGGGGGGCGGGGGAGGUAGAGAGGGAAUAUUCUGGAAAUCUCAUUUCUCCAUAUGCCUAAAACUGCUCCGAAAACAAAACUUUUUUUUUUUUCUUUCUAAGUUUGGUUAUACCGUCGAUGUGAUGAGAGUUUCAAUGUGCAUAAAGGGUGCUGAGACACUUGUGCACAUAUCCCCUGUAGCUUACUUUCUCAACGUGGGUACAUAGUAUGAUCCCCUGGGGGUCUUAGGAUAGGCACCUGCUCAGGCAGGGAGCCUUGGCAUGUGCCCAAAGGGGUUCUGAACCCGGUUUCCAGUGUGGGGUUUCUCCAAACCAAACAGCAAACAGCGCCCGGGUCCUACAGUUCAGCCGGGUUCCUUGAUUCUGAUGCUCUUCACUGGAGAUGGCAUUCGAAUCCACAGAUUAGGGGCUCAGUUUUACAGGACUGGACAGCACCCCCCCCCCCCGCGCGCGACUUCAUGUGUCAGUUGCAAU